GAGAGUGAAGGGGAGGAGAGUGACAGUGAGGACAGCAGCAGUGAUGAUGAGGAAGAUAUAGCCAAACUACCUCCAAGUGACACCAACAGUCACACUGUUCCCAAACCAUCCCACAUCACUGGGAACAUGGACGACCAGCGCCUCACGUAUUUACAGAAUAUGGUACUGACCACUGAGAGGAAACUGGAACUGGUGAGAGAACAUAAGAAAGAUGCAAAGGCAUCUUGCAAAAAAAACACAGACCAGCUGGGAUGGGAGUGAGGUGGAGAGUCUUCCAACAAAGAAAGAAGUUCCUAGCGCCAGACCUGAAAAGAUGGAUAAAGGAAGAGCUGAGAGGGCAAUACAAUGUCAUGUAUAAAGACUGGAAGAGGCUCAAACAACAGCUGAAAGAAGAGAAAGCUGAUCUGAGAGAAUGCUUGUACAUGUACAAAAAGGACCUGAAAGAGGAAGAAAAGAAGGAAGAACAGAGGCAGAGGGCUCUCGAGAAAAAACUCCGGAAAAAGCAAAGGAAGAAAAACUCCAGCAGAAAAAGUUACAAAGGGAAGAGGAGAAAAAGCGUCAGAAGAGGCUCGCGCAGGAGAAAGAAGAGAAAAAAGCAGAGAUUGCGAGAGCACGUAUGGAAGAGAAAAGGAAGGAACAACUGCAGAAGGAGGAAGAGAAGAAGUUAAAGAGACAGCGUGAAUUUGAAGAGAGUAUGCACAAAAAUAACAGGAGAAUUGACAGAUAGAAUGAGCAGAAUAUGACAGAAUGUGCUCCUGGAUAAGAAGACAUAAGCGGCAAAUGAGGGUAGACCUGUACUGGUAGCAGUGGGAAAAGGAAAGGGGGGACUCUUUGGAAAGGAAAUAGAGAAAGGAGAAGAAGCCGCGCAAAGUUGAGGUGCUGCACAAGCAGCAGGUCCUAAAGACUAGCACAAAAAAAACAAAAAAACAAUUAUAGGAAAUAAUGCUUUUGAAUGUCGUACUUAGUGGUGUGAAAAAAGGCAAAGAGAAGCAACACAAGGGAGUUCCCAGGGGGGAGGAGAGAGGGCAGGGCCUCUUCACAGUAAUGGCUGCCAUCAAAGAGACAAGAACAGCUGUCAUCGAAGCUCCUUUAAUGUGGUUUGUAUGAGAAGUGUCGGUACAGUGUAACCAAGGUUCACUCGAUAUGUGUCCCGACUACACAACCAUGAGUAUCAUACAACAUGGCAUGGCAGCCAGGGAGAGACUGCAGUGGAGGCAGAUCUCUCAGCCCCAGCGGGAACUCUCUCAACUAAAAGGUACUGUGAGGUUGGUAAAUGGAGGCAGUCGAUGCUCUGGGAGAGUGGAGGUUUAUCAUGCAGGAGAGUGGGGCACCGUGUAUGGGUAUUUGUGGGAUAUGCCUGAUGCUGCAGUGGUGUGUAGAGAGCUGGACUGUGGUGAUGCUGUAAAAGCUCUGGGUGGAGCUCACUUUGGAAAGGGAUCAGGGAAAAUCUGGA